AUUGAACGCUGGCGGCACGCCUUACACAUGCAAGUCGAACGGUAACAGGUCUUCGGAUGCUGACGAGUGGCGAACGGGUGAGUAAUACAUCGGAACGUGCCUAGUAGUGGGGGAUAACUACUCGAAAGAGUGGCUAAUACCGCAUGAGAUCUACGGAUGAAAGCAGGGGAUCGCAAGACCUUGUGCUACUAGAGCGGCCGAUGGCAGAUUAGGUAGUUGGUGGGAUAAAAGCUUACCAAGCCGACGAUCUGUAGCUGGUCUGAGGGGACGAUCAGCCACACUGGGACUGAGACACGGCCCAGACUCCUACGGGAGGCAGCAGUGGGGAAUUUUGGACAAUGGGCGCAAGCCUGAUCCAGCAAUGCCGCGUGCAGGAUGAAGGCCUUCGGGUUGUAAACUGCUUUUGUACGGAACGAAAAGCCCUGGGUUAAUACCCUGGGGUCAUGACGGUACCGUAAGAAUAAGCACCGGCUAACUACGUGCCAGCCGCCGCUGUAAGAC
rnacentral:rRNA from 1 species